GAUGAAGAACGUAGCGAAAUGCGAUAAGUAAUGUGAAUUGCAGAAUUCAGUGAAUCAUCGAAUCUUUGAACGCACAUUGCGCCCGCCAGUAUUCUGGCGGGCAUGCCUGUUCGAGCGUCAUUACAACCCUCAGGCCCCCGGGCCUGGCGUUGGGGAUCGGCAGAAGCCCCCCGUGGGCACACGCCGUCCCUCAAAUACAGUGGCGGUCCCGCCGCAGCUUCCAUUGCGUAGUAGCUAACACCUCGCAACUGGAGAGCGGCGCGGCCAUGCCGUAAAACACCCAACUUCUGAAUGUUGACCUCGAAUCAGGUAGGAAUACCCGCUGAACUUAAGCAUAUCAAUAAGCGGAGGA
rnacentral:misc_RNA from 1 species